CAGUAGGUAAGCAUGGGUAUACACAUUUUGAUGUGAGAAGUGAAUAGCCGAAGGCGGUUGAUCAUGACGGAAUUUUUUAGUAGAGGUAUGCUGUACGCUAGAAACUCUGCUUCCAUAUGUGAUCAACCAAGUUCCAAGCCAGAAAAGUAAAGUUUCUAUAUCUCAAGAUAUGGAGCCCAGUUUUUCCCAUCAUUGGUGAAAGGAUGUCACCCGCUUUUCUCUCCCUGGCGAGGGAAUGUCACAAACUUUGCCCCUCCCCUGGUGAGGGGAUGUCUCUAACUAUGCCUCUCCCCUGGUGUGAGGAUGUCUGCCCCUCCCCUGGUGUGAGGAUGCCUCCAUCUUUAAUUUCAUGAAAGGAAUGUGGUUGGCAAUUGUCAUUUGAAGUCACAAGGGAAUAAUGGAGCUCUAUUGGCGAGCAGUGGUCACAUGACAAGUUGACAGGUGUCGGCAUCAGCUGGUGGGUGCCUGUCACCGAUGUCUGGUCCUUCCAAGAUGCAUGAUG
rnacentral:lncRNA from 1 species